GACGAACGCUGGCGGCGUGCUUAACACAUGCAAGUCGAACGGAAAGGCCCUGCUUUUGUGGGGUGCUCGAUUGGCGAACGGGUGUGUAACACGUGAGUAACCUGCCCUUGACUUUGGGAUAACUUCAGGAAACUGGGGCUAAUACCGGAUAGGAUCUCCUGCUGCAUGGUGUGGGUUGGAAAGUUUCGGCGGUUGGGGAUGGACUCGCGGCUUAUCAGCUUGUUGGUGGGGUAGUGGCUUACCAAGGCUUUGACGGGUAGCCGUCCUGAGAGGGUGACCGGCAAAAAUGGGAGUGAGAGACGGCACAGACGCCUACGGGAGGCAGCAGUGGGGAAUAUUGCACAAUGGGCGGAAGCCAGAUGCAGCAACGCCGCGUGCGGGAUGACGGCCUUCGGGUUGUAAACCGAUUUCGCCUGUGACGAAGCGUGAGUGACGGUAAUGGGUAAAGAAGCACCGGCUAACUACGUG
rnacentral:rRNA from 1 species